CUAGUGAUUCAAAUAGUUCUUCCAGGUGAUGCUCAGCCUGUGGGUCAAUUGGGUCUCCUAUUUCUGUGUCCGCUCUGCCAAAAUGACCUCCGUGGGUUUGGGGGUGGUUGAGCUCGGGUGACCUGGGUGGCCUGAAGGCAAGAUGUCUUUGCACCUGCAGCUUGUCCUGCUAUCAUGGAUCCUCAAGUUGCUGCUCACCUCUGUGGUGGAAGCUGAUGGCUAACUGGACUUCUGCUCUUCAGCUCAGCCAGAACUUGACCACUGGCUCCCUCUCUCCUUAGCUUUGGGACUCUUUGAGCCAACCCUCUUCCCCCAAGUGGCUGCCACACCCUCCACCAGCCUCUGGCCUGGGCAGUCUAUCUUCCACCACAGGUUCUGCAAAGGGUCAUGCUGCCCUCACCACCACAGGCCCUGAUAUGGUUUGAAUCUGUGUCCCACCCAAAUCUCAUGUAAAAUUGUAAUCCCCAAUGUUGAAGGUGGGGCCUGGUAGGAGGUGAUUGGAUCACAAGCCUGGAUUUCCCUCUUGGUGCUGUUCUCAUGAUAGUGAGUGAGUUCUCGUGAGAUCUGGUUGUUUAAAACUGUGUAGCACCUCCUCUUUCUCUCCUGCUCCAGCCAUGUAAGACAUGCCUGCUUUCCCUUCACCUUCUACCAUCACUGUAAGCUUCCUGAGGCCUCCCCAGAAGCCGAGCAGAUGCCAGCCUCAUGCUUCCUCUAUAACCUGCAGAACUGUGAGCCAAUUAAACCCCUUUUCUUUAUAUAUUACUCAGUCUCAGGUAUUUC
rnacentral:lncRNA from 1 species